GCCGGUGACAAACCGGAGGAAGGUGGGGAUGACGUCAAGUCAUCAUGGCCCUUAUGGGCAGGGCUACACACGUGCUACAAUGGUCGGUACAAAGGGUUGCCAACCCGCGAGGGGGAGCUAAUCCCAUAAAGCCGGUCGUAGAUUAGAGUCUGCAACUCGACUCCAUGAAGUCAGGAUCGCUAGUAAUCGCAGAUCAGCNUGCUGCAGUG
rnacentral:rRNA from 1 species